GUCCUUUAGAAAUUAUAAUUUAAGGUCUAACCUGCCCACUGAAAUAUUUAAAGGCCGCAGUAAUUUGACUGUGCAAAGGUAGCAUAAUCAUUAGUUUUUUAAUUAAAAGCUUGUAUGAAUGGUUGGACGAAAUAAAAUCUGUCUCUAAAUUAAAAUUAGAAUUUAAUUUUUAAGUUAAAAAGCUUAAAUAAUUAUAAAAGACGAGAAGACCCUAUAGAUCUUUAUAUAAUUAUUUAUAGUUUUAUUUAAGAUUUUUUUAUUAAUUAUAUUUAAUUAUAUUUUAUUGGGGUAAUAAAAAGAUUAAAUUAAUUCUUUUUUAAGUUUAACAAUAAUAAUUGAUUAAUUGAUCCAUUAAUAGUGAUUAUAAGAUUAAGUUACCUUAGGGAUAACAGCGUAAUUUUUUUAAAGAGUUCAUAUCGAUAAAAAAGUUUGCGACCUCGAUGUUGGAUUAAAAGUUAUUUUGGGUGUAGAAGUUCAAAAUUUUGGUCUGUUCGACCAUUAAAUUUUUACAUGAUCUGAGUUCAGACCGGCGUAAGCCAGGUCGGUUUCUAUCUUUAUUUAAUUAUUAUAUUUUAGUACGAAAGGACCAAAUAUAAAAUAUAUUAAUAUUUAAAUUUUGAAUAA
rnacentral:rRNA from 1 species